UUUGUUUUCGGAGUGGCUCUAGGUACGGGACACGUAUCUUAAAAUAUAAUACAGAGCGAAAAGGAGGGAAUAACUACAAAUGUGGGCAACAGUCUUUGUCAUUUGUAGCCAGUGUGAAGGGUUAGGGAUUAUAGGACGACAUGAGUUGUCGCGUUACGCCGAUCAGCCAAUCAGAGGCAUUCCUUCUUUCCUACCCGUAGCCAGUGUCUUUGGUUUUACGAAUGGCGAUCUCUAUAGCUGUCCUGGACUGUGAUCUGCUUUACAUGGCCGUGGCCAUAAGACACUGGAUCGCUUUGACCUGGAAUCCGUGUCAGACAACUUCCUCCUCACAACAUUUGGUUUCCCCAGAGAGUUUAUCCUUUAUCUGGUGGAAUUACUCAGAGAGGAUCUCUGUAGGCGUACCCAGCGAUCUAGAGCAAUCAGUCCAGAAGUCCAGGUGUUGGCUGCUUUGGGUUUCUACACAUCUGGCUCCUUUCAGACAUCCAUGGGAGAUGCUAUAGGAAUUAGCCAAGCAUCAAUGUCAGAUGUUUGACCAAUGUGACCAAAGCCCUUGUGAAGAAAGCUCCACAGUUCAUUCACAUUCAACAGAGAUCUUUCCAGCAGAGAGCAGUCCUUCCAGGAUUUUCAGAGCAUUGCAGGAUUCCCCAAAGUUUUGGGAGUUCUGGACUGUGUUCAGGUUGCCAUUAAAGCACCGAAUAGUGAAGACUCUUCAUAUGUGAAUAAGAAAGGCUUUCAUUCUGUUGGCUGCCAGCUGGUUUUGUGAUGCCAGAGGGUUGUUACUGAGUGCAGAAACUCACUGGCCUGGUGGCCUCAAAGAUGUUGAAGUUCUAGAAAGGGUCUAAUCUUGACAAACUACUGCAGGACAUCGAUGAGGGCUGGCUUCUGGGUGACUGCCGCUACCCUCUAAAAAAGAGGCUGAUGACACCAGUUGAGUACCAGAAUCCCUGCAGAGAUUCAGUAUAACCUUGCCCACAGUGCUACGCACGAGAUAGUGGACAGAACCUUUAGAGCCAUUCAGACCAGAUUCAGAUGUUUAGACAGCACUAAAGGUUACCUGCAGUACUCGCCUGAAAAGAGUUCAUCCAUCCUUCUGGCAUGCUGUGUUCUCCACAACGCCUCCCUACAGUCUGGAUUAGAUGCUUGGACUCUGGAGCGGAUAGAUCCUCCGGAGCAGCCUGAGAGCCUAAAACAGAGCGCUGAGGAUCGGGACACUCGGGCUGAAGAGCUCCGACAGCAGCUCAUUCUCAAACACUCAUUUAAACUGUGAUUUCACACACAACAACAAACAUCUCAUGCACGUAAGAGACAUCUGUCAGGAAAGGACAGACACUGUAUUGCUGAUGCAGUUUUUUAUAUUUUGCUGGUUUCUACUCUACGUGACUACACUAAGAUACACUGAUAUAUAUGGAGGAAUAUGCAAGAUAUUAUACAAUAAACCUAGACAACAAUAACCCAACACAUUUCAAAUGGCUGAACGUCCUGCAGUCUGUAUUUAUUACAUGAAGACAAUAAAAGUUGUAUUAUUCUGAAUGAUUCAGAGAGAUGUGAAUAAUCAAGCAGACUUGGUGUUUUAUGGCAUUCAAAGUGUGUUCAGCUACCGUGUUGUCAUGGCUUCUUUACAAGUGGGAAAAACUAAUCUCUUAUUUUCUUCCCCAGUCUGCCGGACUCCCACACAGUUCCACAGGUUAAGUCUUGGGAAGGAGGCACACACACAAAAAAAAGAAAAA